AUUUCCAUGCUGCAGUUGUUGAGGUCCUGGAGACCCUCUUUCUUUGCAACAGCCCGUUGACGCGUGGAUGAUGGUUGGAUACAGAUGGAAGCCCGCAAUCACGACCGCUGCAGGUUGCCUGACUCGUGUGGCACUCGUGGAUCAAUGCUCUGUACAUCUUGAUCUGGUAAGACAAGACGGAUUCCUCGGGUUACAAAUGUGGUGUCCUGCCGAUGUCAAUGAUCACGCUUAUAGAUGGAGGAUGAUAGAUUGAUGUUGUCCU
rnacentral:lncRNA from 1 species